GACGAACGCUGGCGGCGUGCCUAAUACAUGCAAGUUGAGCGCUGAAGGUUGGUACUUGUACCAACUGGAUGAGCAGCGAACGGGUGAGUAACGCGUGGGGAAUCUGCCUUUGAGCGGGGGACAACAUUUGGAAACGAAUGCUAAUACCGCAUAAAAACUUUAAACACAAGUUUUAAGUUUGAAAGAUGCAAUUGCAUCACUCAAAGAUGAUCCCGCGUUGUAUUAGCUAGUUGGUGAGGUAAAGGCUCACCAAGGCGAUGAUACAUAGCCGACCUGAGAGGGUGAUCGGCCACAUUGGGACUGAGACACGGCCCAAACUCCUACGGGAGGCAGCAGUAGGGAAUCUUCGGCAAUGGACGAAAGUCUGACCGAGCAACGCCGCGUGAGUGAAGAAGGUUUUCGGAUCGUAAAACUCUGUUGGUAGAGAAGAACGUUGGUGAGAGUGGAAAGCUCAUCACGUGACGGUAACUACCCAGAAAGGGACGGCUAACUACGUG
rnacentral:rRNA from 1 species